ACGAACGCUGGCGGCGUGCUUAACACAUGCAAGUCGAACGGUGAAGGGGCCUGCUUUUGUGGGCCCUGGAUGAGUGGCGAACGGGUGAGUAACACGUGAGUAACCUGCCCCCUUCUUCUGGAUAACCGCAUGAAAGUGUGGCUAAUACGGGAUAUUCUGGGUCUGUCGCAUGAUGGGUCUGGGAAAGAUUGCGCCUUUGGGUGUUUUUGGUGGGGGAUGGGCUCGCGGCCUAUCAGCUUGUUGGUGGGGUGAUGGCCUACCAAGGCGGUGACGGGUAGCCGGCCUGAGAGGGUGGACGGUCACACGGGGACUGAGACACGGCCCAGACUCCUACGGGAGGCAGCAGUGGGGAAUAUUGCACAAUGGGCGCAAGCCUGAUGCAGCGACGCCGCGUGAGGGAUGGAGGCCUUCGGGUUGUAAACCUCUUUCGCCAGUGAAGCAGGCCUGCUCCUUGUGGGUGGGUUGACGGUAGCUGGAUAAGAAGCGCCGGCUAACUACGUG
rnacentral:rRNA from 1 species